GUAAAGGAUGGAAUUUGGAGAUUUUGUGUGGAUUAUAUAAUGCUGUUAAUAAGGCUACCGUGCCAGACAAGUUUCCAGUACCUGUUAUUGAAGACGACUUUUUAUAUGAAUUUACAGGGACAAAUAAUUCUCUUUUUUCUCUUGUUUCAAAGAAUCCUAACAUAUUCUGAAUCAAAUUAUAUGUAUUGUAUAUAGAGAUCUUUCAUACAAUAACUUCAACAUCAGCCAAGGGAGUCAGAUGUGUGAAGAUGAAAAAGUGUAAGAAUACACGCAUUUGUGUGCAUUUGAUUGCAAACUUAAGAAUCUUUCUGUGACACUGACUUCUCUAAUAUGUCACAGGAACUUGUUUUCUCCCUCAUGGGCACACAAUGACAUGUAAGUUUGGUAUUAUAUAUACUAAAACAUGCAUGUAUAUAUAGCCUUUCCAUUUCCCUCUUAUUAUGUGAUGAAUCUUAAUUUACUAAUUAUGCUAACUUAUUCUAUUCCUUCCAUCAUUCUCUCAGAGGAACAGAUUCGUGUUUGAGAGAAUGUCCCAAACGUGAGUUUCUUCAUGGUGAAUUUCCUAUAGACAUCUAAGAUCUCACUAUUUUUCAUGAUUUACUUAACCCACCAUGGAAAAAACAAAUCAAGGAACAUACUUUUCUUUAUUUGAUUUUUUAGUUUCCUUAAUAUUUCCAAAGUUUCUCACAUGAUCUGAUCAACCCAGCGUCAUACUCCCUUUAUAUAAAUUGUGGUGGAAAACAAGUAAAAGUCAACAACACAAGCUAUGAUGAUGAUGAUUCAGAAUCAUCUGGAUCAGCUAGAUUCGUUGCCAGUCAAAUGGGAAAAUGGGCAUCUAGCACCACUGGUGCAUUCAUUGGUAGUGAUCAACGUGCAGAUAGUUAUACUCGAAAAAAUACCUCUACACUUACUAUGGUGGAUGCUGAAUUGUACAUGACCGCACGUGUUUCUCCUAUUUCUUUGACUUAUUUUGCGUUUUGCCUGGAAAAUGGAAGAUACACGGUAGAUCUACACUUUGCUGAAAUAAUGUUCAUAAACGAUCAAACUUAUGGUAGUCUUGGAAGGCGUCUAUUUGAUAUCUAUCUUCAGGUACAUGGCUUAACAAUUUUCUUACAAUAAUCACUUUGUGUUUCAUUAAAAAGAAAUUGAGGCCAUUAGUCAAGUGAUAACUAGGUUCCCAUUGCGAUAUUGUUGUAAUAUAUUUUUUCUGAUUAAAACAUGUACAAAUAUCUCACUACCAACUGAAACCAUAUCCGAUUAGCAGUUCACUUGUUUGGAAUAAUUUAUAAAAUCCAUUGCUACUACAUUUUUAAAACAGAAUGACGAUUCAAAUAUUUGUAGAUUAUAAUCAUCAAGAGGCAUUCGGGUUGUAAUUCAAAUGUUGCAGGGCAAGCCAAUGCAAAAGGACUUCAAUAUUGCAGAAGAAGCAGGAGGAGUUGGUAAGAAAGUCGUAAAGCGAUACAAAAAAGUUGGUGUUACUAAUAAUACAUUAGAGAUCCGUUUAUAUUGGGCUGGAAAAGGGAGAGAGGCUCUCCCAGAUAAAUCAGUAUAUGGUCCUCUUAUAUCAGCUAUAUCAGUGAAAUCUGGUGGGUAUACUUUGUAUAUUCCUAAACUUAUGCUACAUUCUCCAUGUUAUGAAUAUGAUCUAAUAUUCAAAAUUUCAUGUAUAAUAAUCAAGCAGAUUCUGCACAUCGAAGCAUGUCUGCAGGAACUGUGGUUGGAAUUGUGGUUGCAGCAGCAAUUAUUAUCAUUCUAUUAUUUGUUAUACUUUGGUGGAAAGGAUAUUUUGGAAAGAAAAACUCUUUAGCAAGAGGUGAUUACAAAGAAUUUUUUUAGUUGCCAUUAUCAUCAAACUUUUUGCUAACAUACGAAUUAUUCAACUGAUAAACUUGCGCAUAUUGUGUAACCGAGUAAGUUUGGGUACGUACUUUUGUUUUGUUUGUAUAUCAUGUUAUAUAAUGGAAACUGAGACUAGUUUUAUCUUGAUAAAAUGAAAGUUGCAAUCUUACAAGAAAUAAAAUAUCGAUGUUGAGUGUCCGUGUGAAAUUUUCUUAGUGUAAGAGAUCUUUGAUCUUUCUUUUACUUCAAUUACAGAGCUGAAGAGUUUAGACCUACAAACAGGUGUAUUUACCUUAAGACAAAUCAAAGCAGCAACAAAUAACUUUGAUAUUUCCAAUAAGAUUGGAGAAGGAGGGUUUGGUCCUGUGUACAAGGUAUUGUGCACAAUAUAACAAAUCCUCUUGAGUGUCACACUUUAUUAUAAAAUUCCUUUUCAACUUCUAACAGCAUAUUUUUGUUUGUUCAAAAAAAAAAAAAACUUCUAACAGCAUAUAUAAUUCCUCAAAUUGCAGGGUUGUUUACCCAAUGGGACAUUGAUAGCAGUCAAGCAACUUUCUUCUAAAUCAAAGCAAGGGAAUCGUGAGUUUUUAACUGAGAUAAGCAUGAUUUCUGCUUUGCAACACCCUUAUCUUGUUAAACUAUAUGGUUGUUGUGUGGAGGGAGAUCAGUUGUUGCUGAUAUAUGAAUACUUGGAAAACAAUAGUCUCGCUCGUGCUUUAUUUGGUAAUUAUUCCUAUAUUCUCUAUUUCAGUUGCUAUUUAUGCAGUAGUCCACAUUUUCAAACUUAGCACAUUACUAUGUGGUAUCGUGUUCUGAAUUUUAUAACAUUCACAAAUAAAGGUCCAGAGGAACACCAAAUAAAAUUAGAUUGGUCAAGAAGGAAGAAGAUAUGUGUUGGCAUUGCUAAAGGUUUGGCAUUCCUCCAUGAAGAAUCAAGACUGAAGGUUGUUCAUAGGGACAUCAAAGCCACAAAUGUGUUACUUGAUACCAAACUUGACCCAAAGAUAUCUGAUUUUGGUUUGGCCAAGCUGGAUGAGGAGGACAAUACUCACAUUAGCACUAGAAUUGCUGGGACGUAGUGAGUAACUAUAAUUCAAAUAGCAUUUAUAUAAUAUAAUAGUUUGAUAUCAUGUUUUAUACAAAUAUCGUGUUGUUUCAAUGAUAUGUUUCAAUUGUGCAGUGGAUAUAUGGCUCCUGAAUAUGCAAUGCAUGGUUAUUUGACAGACAAAGCAGAUGUUUAUAGUUUUGGAGUUGUUGCUCUAGAAAUUGUUAGUGGUAAGAGCAACACCCUUUAUCGGUCAAAGGAGGAAGCAUUCUAUCUUCUUGAUUGGGUAACUAUUUGAUGUUCUCCUUUGUUCAUUGUUCAACUAAAAAUUUAACUCUAAAAGAGAACAAAAUCAACAAGGAGCCAACUUCUUUGUUGAAGUAAUACAUUUCACUAGAAGGAAAAACGAAAGGGUUUGGAAAAGGAUUUAAUUUUAGUCUCUCUUGAAGAGUAAUUGCACAAAACAUUUCAUAGUUACUGUCAAUUUCUAAAAUGUAAUAUCACGAGACAUCUAAGUGACAUCAUUUUGGCUUUUAGUUAGUUAACAUCAAUAUGACCAUUUUCGUACUUUGAAGAAUUUUCAGACGUUGAAUGUAUCCUUUGUAAAGAACUGUUAUUUUGACACAAACUUGACAUCAAAAUUCGGCAGGGUAAAACAAUUUUCACAUCGGUUGCAAAACCAUGUGAAACACAGGUAAAGAAUACGUGGUUAAUUGUGUUCAACUGAUGGUUAAUGAAUAUAACAAAGAUCACAACUUAUUAAUCAUUCACUAAACACUAUUAACUACAGUUCUUAACUUCAUUAUCUAUUAACCACCCAAAUUGUGUUCAUCUAUACAAGAUUUUCAUGCGUUCAAACAUACAUGAUAUUAAUUAACCACAUUUUGGGUUCAAAUAUUCACUUGAUUGCUGUUAGUGACAUUCAAUAUUGCGGUUAAUUAUGUUGAAUGAAUGAUUAAUGAGUUGCGACAUUUGUUAUGUUUUUUAAUUAUCUAGUAAACAUAAUUAACGACAUAUUUCUCGAAUCUGAUGUCUAACUUGUGUGUCAAAAUAUAAUUUCUCUUUUGUAAAUGACUUGGGUUUCACAAAACUAUUCUUUGUUUCAAC
rnacentral:lncRNA from 1 species